GGGGGUCUAGCUUAGUGGUAGAGUGCUUGCCUAACAUGCAUGAGGCACUUCAUUCAAUCCCCCCUCA
rnacentral:tRNA from 1 species